rnacentral:rRNA from 1 species
CCUACGGGUGGCAGCAGUGAGGAAUAUUGGUCAAUGGACGAGAGUCUGAACCAGCCAAGUAGCGUGAAGGAUGACUGCCCUAUGGGUUGUAAACUUCUUUUAUAUGGGAAUAAAAUGUUCCACGUGUGGGAUUUUGUAUGUACCAUAUGAAUAAGGAUCGGCUAACUCCGUGCCAGCAGCCGCGGUAAUACGGAGGAUCCGAGCGUUAUCCGGAUUUAUUGGGUUUAAAGGGAGCGUAGGUGGGUUGUUAAGUCAGUUGUGAAAGUUUGCGGCUCAACCGUAAAAGUGCAGUUGAAACUGGCAGUCUUGAGUACAGUAGAGGUGGGCGGAAUUCGUGGGGUAGCGGUGAAAUGCUUAGAUAUCACGAAGAACUCCGAUUGCGAAGGCAGUUCACUGGACUGCAACUGACACUGAGGCUCGAAAGUGUGGGUAUCAAACAGGAUUAGAUACCCUUGUAGUC